GUUGCUUUGGCUGAGUGUUUAGGCGUGUGCCUGCUUAGUACAUGGUGUUACCCCGCGAGAGUUCGAAUUUUCUCAGGCAACG
rnacentral:tRNA from 1 species